rnacentral:rRNA from 1 species
UAAGGGCACGUUGACUCGUGUUGUGAAAUGUUGGGUUAAGUCCCGCAACGAGCGCAACCCUUAUCCUUUGUUGCCAGCGGUUCGGCCGGGAACUCAAAGGAGACUGCCAGUGAUAAACUGGAGGAAGGUGGGGAUGACGUCAAGUCAUCAUGGCCCUUACGAGUAGGGCUACACACGUGCUACAAUGGCGUAUACAAAGAGAAGCGACCUCGCGAGAGCAAGCGGACCUCAUAAAGUAUGUCGUAGUCCGGAUUGGAGUCUGCAACUCGACUCCAUGAAGUCGGAAUCGCUAGUAAUCGUAGAUCAGAAUGCUACGGUGAAUACGUUCCCGGGCCUUGUACACACCGCCCGUCACACCAUGGGAGUGGGUUGCAAAAGAAGUAGGUAGCUUAACCUUCGGGAGGGCGCUUACCCA